rnacentral:rRNA from 1 species
AUUGAACGCUGGCGGCAGGCCUAACACAUGCAAGUCGAACGAGUGGCGGACGGGUGAGUAAUGUCUGGGAAACUGCCUGAUGGAGGGGGAUAACUACUGGAAAAGGUAGCUAAUACCGCAUACCAUCGGAUGUGCCCAGAUGGGAUUAGCUAGUGGGGGGGGUAACGGCUCACCAGGGCGACGAUCCCUAGCUGGUCUGAGAGGAUGACCAGCCAAACUGGAACUGAGACACGGUCCAGCCUCCUACGGGAGGAAGCAGUGGGGAAUAUUGCACAAUGGGCGCAAGCCUGAUGCAGCCAUGCCGCUUGUAUGAAGAAGGCUUUCGGGUUGUAAAGUACUUUCAGCGGGGAGGCGUUACCCGCAGAAGAAGCACCGGCUAACUCCGUGCCAGCAGCCGCGGUAAUUC